CUUUCAGUGAUGUGAUGUGUUUGUAUUGCAUCUGGUCAGUGCCAUGAUGUGAAUACUGUUGAUGCUGAUGAUGUUGAUACUGAUGAUGUGGAUGCUGAUGAUGUGGAUGAUGAUAAUGUGGAUGCCUCCGAAUUGAAAUAGCUGGACAGUGCCAUGAUGUGGAUACUGUUGAUACUGAUAAUGUGGAUACUGUUCAUACUGAUGAUAUAAUGCUGAUAAUGUGGAUAUUGAUGAUGUAGAUGCCCCGGAUGAUCAACCAGGGACUAAUAGAGCUGGACAGUGCCAUGAUGUGAAUACUGAUGAUACUGAUGAUGUGGAUACUGAUGAUGUGGAUGAUGAUGAUGUGGAUGAUGAUGAUGUGGAUGCCUCCGUUGAUCAACCAGGGACUGAAAUAGCUGGACAGUGCCAUGAUGUGAAUACUGAUGAUACUGAUGAUGUGGAUGCUGAUGAUGUGGAUGCCUCCGUUGAUCAACCAGGGACUGAAAUAGCUGGACAGUGCCAUGAUGUGAAUACUGUUGAUGCUGAUGAUGUGGAUGUUGAUAAUGUUGAUGCCUCCGUUGAUCAACUAGGGACUGAAAUAGGUCAACUCGAAGCAGUCGUAAAUGCUGGGAUUGGCACAAACCAUGAAAAACGAACAGCCACAGUCAGAACACCUUGGAGCUAGGCUGAAGAAGACGUGGUAGAAAAUGGCCUUAAAAAGUGUUUUAAACUUAAUACUCUUACCAAAAAUAAUUUAGAAUGUCUUGAACUUAUAAAGAAGUAUCCAAUUCUUGCCAGGCGAUCAAGGACAAUGGUGAAAGGGUACAUUAGAAAAAUGCAACUGGCCUUGCAAUAGGCUCAUCAAAAAGCAAACAAUUAAACAAAUAGAUACUUUAAAUUAUAGAAUAGACUAGAUUGCAUUUUGAUUUAAGCUUUAUAUCUGAAUACCAUCAGUGAUUGACAUGUUCUUUGGAUAUUGUUCUAUUAUUAUUUAUUUUUUAGCAAUUAAAAUUUUGAAAUUGAAUAUGGUAAUAACUUGUCCUCAAUUGGAGGUGAUUUUGCUAGAAUUGUCCAUGAUGUUUGUGGUCAUUUCCACUGCAGUGUAUUCAAUUGUUUUUUUGUUCCAUGGUAAAUAAUGGUGUGUGGUAUUGUUUUGUAUUGAAUGCUUCUGUCAUUUCUCAGUGAUGUGAUGUUUUUUGUGUUGUUGGAUAAAUUGAUGAAAUGCAAAUGAAAUAUCAUCAUGUAUGAACAUGUCAAACAAAAAUGUAUUAACUUUCUUCUGUUUGCUAUCAAAACGUUAAGUAUUUGUUUGGCUGAAUUGUAUCUAGAGUCAAUGAAUGAAGAUUUGUUUAUUACUGAAAAUUGAUAUGCAUUAUUUUUUGUAAAAGAAAAAUUUUCAGAAAAGAAGUAUCUUGGUAUUGUGAUAUGCCUUGGCACCUGUCAGGGCUGUGGGCAUCAUGCAGUCUUUUACCUAGGACAGUAACUAAAUCUUUUCAUAUUUAAAUAAAACUUGGUUAGGAUGUUGCCAGGGACAAUAUGCAUGUGUACAUCAAGGAGCAUAACUCUGGCUUUAGUUUGUAUUGAGUUAUGCCUCAUUUUCGAAGGAGAAAAAAACAGACGAGCGCUGGUGUUUUCUUCAUGGCGCUCUUGUUGACCUUGGCGAGAUCAAGGUUCAAUGUUGAAAUAAGAUAUGCCUUGUAAGUUAUUUUAACUAACAGGGGAAAGUCUGACAAUCAAGUUUAGACUUUAAUAGCUUUAAUAGUGAUUGUUGUGUAAAGUGGACUUUCAACAUAUUUUAUCAUAUAAAUAGAAGUAUGAAUUCUGCUCUUUGGAGCUAAAAAUUAUCUACUUUCCGGCUAUUGAUAAUUAUGUACUUAUUUCACAUAUCCGAGCAUGUUAUGUAUCCAUUUGUCUACAUUAUACUGAUUACUUAGUUUGAUAUAUUCGUAUUUAAUACCUGUCUUGUAAUGAUCAGCUAUAUAAAUAUAUCCAUCCAUCUGAAGUUUCUGUUAUUUGACACUUAACUAUUACAGUAUUACAAUCGGA